CUCUCUCUCUCUCUCUCUCACAUUCUCUCUUGUCACGUUAUUUAUCGGCACGACGAAGCACAUAAGCUACGGUAAACAGAGAUCGCGUCCUCGCUCUACUACUUGCGACGGCAGGCAUUGCUUUUUAACGCAAGCGAUCCUCCAAAGAAAUAUCAAUAAAAAGAUUUUUUUUAAAUCUUCCAUAUUAUUAUUAUACAUAAAAAAAACGUCAAUUAUAAUUAAUUUCCCGAUAAUAAUCCACCAGGUCACGUGGUUUACGAAUUGCCAUAUGCAAUCUUCGUGUAGUUCCUUAUUUAGCCGCUGCCAGCAGGCAACUCAGUGGCGCUGGGUUAGUGUCUUAGGCACGGUAUAGCCGGGAUUACAACAGUGACCUGAGGUUCUGCAUUCAAACUGGAAUAAGCGCCUAGCCCUCGGCUAGGACCAUUGGUCGGUUUAGCACGCUGAAUAAAAAACGAAGAAACAGCAGUGAAACUGCAUUCUUGUCAAGUACGUUUGCGGCUACCAAGCAAUCGUUGUUCCGUGCAAGGUGAGCUGGCAUAAUUUCCCAGGAACCGUUGGGGAAUUUAAUUUAGCGUCAGACCUGGACCAAGUACGAGAUACGAAAUACAAGGUAUAUCUGAAUGGUAUCUUUACUUGAAAUAAAAUAGGAAAAUCCCAUUAAGCAAAUAUAUAUAUAUAUAUAUACACGCCAAUGUAAACACUCUUAUUUAUUAACGCUCGAGGACUCAUCCCCGUAAGAAUCUAUUAGGCCGUCUAGAAAUCAGCUGGGUACAUCGGUGGCUGGAAAAAUCUAUGAAAAAUCGUAAUGGAUGGCUGUGCCCGGGUACAGGGUAUACAGAUCCAUCGAGAUUGUCAGUCGCGUACGCGGGAGGCAGUCAGGUAGAUACCUACCCACUGCGAUGUUGCAACGAAUAGUCAAGGUUCACGGGAGAGGUAUGCGGAUCUGAGAAAGAGAUAAUACCCAGCAGACAAAACGAACCUCAUAGAGCUGUACGUAGAUAGGUAUGGGCUCUUGGCCGGUUUAAUAGGAUGCAGCGAUUGUUCGCGUUCCUCUCAGUCUCCCUUUAUUGACAUGCAACACAGCAUGAUUAAUUAAGGAAACGUUUAAUCAGCUUUUAUCACGAAAAUUGGAUCUGCUGAAGAAAUACUUGAAGGGUGCUGUCUGACCAUUAGGUGAUUAACGGGAUUUGGACAACGAUGAGGAAAAAAUUGGAAAAAAUACCAUGUGUAUGAAAUAUCGUAUGGGUAACGUAUGGAUUCGAGUACCACGUGGAAUUGAUUUAUUUCUUUCACUUCGGAAUAUUUUCCCCGCACCAGACACAGAGACUAUCGUGCUGUCUGAUAUAAAAAGUUUAUUGACAUUCUCAAGAGGGAAGAUUCUUGGAUAAUUCGCCUCCGAGGACACGCUAGGAAGUUCCCAGUAUGGAGAUCGAUCGAGCGUGGACGAGGUGGCGGUGCGUUACGUAAAGAAAUCUAUAUAACAGCCAGCAGUAGGAUUCGAUUCCGGGCGCUCGGGCGGGCAUGACCCGCUCAACAUUCCACGUUGAAAUACCGGAGGCUCCGUUCGCGGCAGUAAGACCGGAAAUGCCACUGUGAUCGAUCCUUCGAUUGGUCGUUGUGUAAAAGUCAAAAUAAAGGUG